AUUGAACGCUGGCGGCAGGCCUAACACAUGCAAGUCGAACGGUAACAGGAAGAAGCUUGCUUCUUUGCUGACGAGUGGCGGACGGGUGAGUCAUGUCUGGGAAACUGCCUGAUGGAGGGGGAUAACUACUGGAAACGGUAGCUACUACCGCAUAACGUCGCAAGACCAAAAAGGGGGACCUUCGGGCCUCUUGCCAUCGGAUGUGCCCAGAUGGGAUUAGCUAGUAGGUGGGGUAACGGCUCACCUAGGCGACGAGCCCUAGCUGGUCUGAGAGGAUGACCAGCCACACUGGAACUGAGACACGGUCCAGACUCCUACGGGAGGCAGCAGUGGGGAAUAGUGCACAAUGGGCGCAAGCCUGAUGCAGCCAGGCCGCGUGUAUGAAGAAGGCCUUCGGGGUGUAAAGUACUUUCAGCGGGGAGGAAGGGAGUAAAGUUAAUACCUUUGCUCAUUGACGUUACCCGCAGAAGAAGCACCGGCUAACUCCGUG
rnacentral:rRNA from 1 species